UACGUAGGGUGCAAGCGUUGUCCGGAAUUAUUGGGCGUAAAGAGCUCGUAGGCGGUCUGUCGCGUCUGCUGUGAAAACCUAGGGCUUAACUCUGGGCGUGCAGUGGGUACGGGCGGGCUAGAGUGCGGUAGGGGAGACUGGAAUUCCUGGUGUAGCGGUGAAAUGCGCAGAUAUCAGGAGGAACACCGGUGGCGAAGGCGGGUCUCUGGGCCGUAACUGACGCUGAGGAGCGAAAGCAUGGGGGAGCGAACAGG
rnacentral:rRNA from 1 species